GUGUUUAUUUAUUUCAGUAAUUAAUAUUAUUUCAGUAUUAAAACUGUUAAAAGUAAAUUCAACAGAUAAUAGGUAAUCAUGGAAUAUUUAUGUGCACAUUUGCUUGCCUGACUUCAGCCUUGUAUUUUUAUGUGGGAGAUUUUAUGUUCACAUAGACCGGUCUCAUUAUAAGGUAGGAACCUAAACUCAACUCUCUAGUUACACUCCCAGGUAUGAUAUAAUUAAACUCAUCAUAGAUACCAGGAUCAAAAUUUUAUAUUUACGCCAGACGCGAGUUUCGUCUAAAAUAGACUCAUCUACAGUGACACUCAUAUCAGAAAAUGUUUAAAAGGCAUUGAGGACCAAUAAUUCCCAAUAAAGUUUUGUCUAAGGUAAUCUAUUCCUGCGGUAGAAAAGCCUUAGUUUUUCAAAAAUUCAAAGUUUUGUUAACAAUUAAUUUAUAAUUAUG
rnacentral:lncRNA from 1 species